CCUGAGACCGUUUCGCAUGGCGUUCGGAUCGACACUGUACCCCGUUUGGGUACGAAACAUUCAAAACGUGGUACGUGACCACAUGAGCGACUCCUGUGACUAUGGUCAGUGAGGCUUUGGUUGUAUUAGCCUCUGCAUCUUCUAUGAGUAGGGAGAGAGAAGAGUUUCUGAUGCUUGUCAAAAAAGAGAUAAAUUUUUAUCAUAGUAUGAUGGAGAAAGAGGGAAUUGAUAGCAGAAAAGAGGCGAUGGAGGCAUAUAGAGCUGCACACAUGGAAAGUGAAGAUUCAACUACUAAUGAACAACCUGUAGCUGAUGAGGUAUCUUCAUCCCUCAUAAACAGGGUUAAUGCUAUGCUCCAAAAUCUUGAGAAAGAAAUUGAUGACGUGGAUGAAAAGAUUGGUGAUCGUUGGAGAGUGCUUGACAGGUAGGUUUUUUUUUAUGUUUCCUUAUUAUAUGAUAUAUUUAUCACAAUGGUUUACUACUUGAGUACUUUAGAGAUUAUGAUGGAAAAGUGACUCCUGAGGAAGUGGCAUCUACAGCCAUAUACUUGAAAGAUACUUUCAGGUGGUGAUCUGAAGCCAAAAAAGCUAAAAAGCAAAACCGGUUCCGACCCGUAUGACCAUGUAACUUCAAGUAAUCUCAAGACUGAAGCUGCACCUAAUAAUGAUGGUUACAAGGAUAAUUUAGUAAUUUCAGUCAAGAGACAGCCAGAAAGUACCGAGCUUUCCAUGAAAAGUAAAUUAUUGGGUACUGAAAAAGUGGAAAUGCAUGCAAAAAAGAGAAAAUUGAAAGACUGGGAGGAGAGUCAGCCUAGUGAAGGUAAUAAUGAUAGAAUAGGAAGAAAAGAGAAGAGAUUAAAGAGUUCCAACACUGAGAUAAACGAUUCCACUGGAAUUAAAGAGAAUGACAGAUCUACCCUCAAAGGAAAAACAAUGAAAAUCAUAUUGCCAGGGAGAAAAGAGAAUUCAGUUGACAGAAAACUGGAUAAACAUAGAGAAAUGGUUACUUCAAGAAAGAAUUUGGAAAUUGCUACCACUUCAAGCUCUUCAAAGGUUUCAGAUUCUUGUAGAAGGGUCAGUUUGCAAAAAGGGUCUCCAGUAGGGAAAAAGAUAAAAAAAAUGUAAUUUCCAAAGAGUAAAAGUCAUAGGGUCAGAACCAUUGACCGAGUUGACCAAGCAAGAGCCGUUUCCUAAUCAAAUGAGGAAGGUUGAAGUGGAUGUUGAUCGUUGUAGAUCUUCUAUGAACCCUAAAUAUUCAAAUACUAAAACCAGUAAUGAUGAUAAGGAUAAUUUUGGCAAGAAGAUUUCUAAAAAACGGACAAGUGGCAUCAUAGGAGAUGAUAAAGAGAAACAAACACCAUUGAUUAUGAGUCAUGGUGGAUCUGAAGCAAAGUUGGGUGCUAUAGGUAGUUCAGAAGUAAAGAAAGAUCCAAAAAAGGUAUUUUUAGGCGACAUAUCAAAGAAAAGGGACUUAAAUGAAGUAGAGCAAAAAGUAGAGGGGGUAAUUUGAAUGUCAAAAGUGUUGUGAAUGAUUGUGGUACAAUGAAGGAUCUUGGUGUUAUAGGUUUUGUUAAGGAGUAUACAUCUAGUCAAACCGCUUUGACUGCUUUCAAAAGAGCAGAGGAGUCAAAGGACUAUGCUGAUUGUAUAAAGAUUUCUGGAUUUGAUUGAGUGUAACGAUGCAUACUUUGACUCUGCUUUGAAGUUUCUUUAUGCUGCUUCUCUUGUAGAAUCCUGCAGCGAUGAGUUCAAUAAAUCAAAAAGAGUGGAUCCAGUAAAUAUUUACACUACUUCUGCCAAACUUAGCAAGAAUUGUGCUCAAGAAUAUGAGAAACAAAAAGAAAUGGCUGCUGCAACAUUGGCCUAUAAAUGUAUGGAGGUGGCAUAUAUGAGGAUAGUCUAUUGCAAGAGUUCAGUCACUAGGCAGGAUCUACAAAUAAGUUUACAAAUGGUUAAUCAAGGAGUCUGAAAAAGUAUUCCCUAAGGAUGCCCAACAAAUGGAACUUUUCAUUUGAUUACUUCUAUUUUGCUUUUGUGGUGUUAGCAACUCUAUAAUUCCAUGUAUAAUUUAGGUGGGAAAUCAUCCGUUCUUAUAUGAAGUAGAAGAUUUAUUUGUCGUAUUAUAAACAUUUAUAGCAUUUGCCUUGUCUUUUGUCUAA